rnacentral:rRNA from 1 species
GACGAACGCUGGCGGCGUGCUUAACACAUGCAAGUCGAACGGAAAGGCCCUGCUUUUGUGGGGUGCUCGAGUGGCGAACGGGUGAGUAACACGUGAGUAACCUGCCCUUUACUUUGGGAUAACUUCAGGAAACUGGGGCUAAUACCGGAUAGGAGCUCCUGUUGCAUGGUGGGGGUUGGAAAGUUUCGGCGGUUGGGGAUGGACUCGCGGCUUAUCAUCUUGUUGGUGGGGUGGUGGCUUACCAAGGCUUUGACGGGUAGCCGGACUGCGAGGGUGACCGGCCACAUUGGGACUGAGAUACGGCCCAGACUCCUACGGGAGGCAGAAGGGGGGAAUAUUGCACGAUGGGCGGAAGCCUGAUGCAGCAACGCCGCGUGCGGGAUGACGGCCUUCGGGUUGUAAACCGCUUUCGCCUGUGACGAAGCGUGAGUGACGGUAAUGGGUAAAGAAGCACCGGCUAACUACGUG